rnacentral:tRNA from 1 species
UCCGAGAUAGUGUAAUGGUAGCACAAGGGAAUUUGGAUCCCUUCGUCUAGGUUCGAAUCCUGGUCUCGGAG